rnacentral:rRNA from 1 species
AGUGAACGCUGGCGGUAGGCCUAACACAUGCAAGUCGAACGGCAGCACAGUAAGAGCUUGCUCUUACGGGUGGCGAGUGGCGGACGGGUGAGGAAUACAUCGGAAUCUACUUUUUCGUGGGGGAUAACGUAGGGAAACUUACGCUAAUAUCGCAUACGACCUACGGGUGAAAGCAGGGGAUCUUCGGACCUUGCGCGAUUGAAUGAGCCGAUGUCGGAUUAGCUAGUUGGCGGGGUAAAGGCCCACCAAGGCGACGAUCCGUAGCUGGUCUGAGAGGAUGAUCAGCCACACUAGAACUGAGACACGGUCCAGACUCCUACGGGAGGCAGCAGUGGGGAAUAUUGGACAAUGGGCGCAAGCCUGAUCCAGCCAUACCGCGUGGGUGAAGAAGGCCUUCGGGUUGUAAAGCCCUUUUGUUGGGAAAGAAAAGCAGCAGGUUAAUACCCCGCUGUUCUGACGGUACCCAAUGAAUAAGCACCGGCUAACUUCGUG